UCCUUCUCUCUCCUAGUCCCACCUAUCUUGGCCAACAGCAUUUUAUUCAUCAACCAACAAGAUAAACAUAUUUACAGAAGACAUUUCCUAUCAGGAUCCCUGGUACUCAACUGGCCAGCCAUUAGGGAGAGACCUUGUUUCAAAACUAAAAGACUAACAGGGAAAAGGCGGCAGGGGAAGGAGAGCGUCAGCCAUGAGAACAAAGCUUGUCGGGAGGCUGGAGAGGAGCUCAGGCCUGCUUCUACUGUUCUGACAGGAAGCACUGUUGGAAGAAGACACUGCGGGUAAAACAUUGAUGGGGAGGACUCCAACAAAACUGAUAAGAUUCCAGAGCUAGUACUGAACACACAUGGUCAUUUCCCAACAAACCAACCUGUGCCUGAUGCAAAGUGGGUGAAGAGAAAGACUCUAAGGUCAAGUUCCUUGGCUUUGUGCUACUGUAUCGAACACCUGAGACAAUCAACUUUAGAGAGGCAAAAAGGACAUUUCAGGUUCUUCUGAUGGCUCGAUGAAACCCCUUUCAGCUUUGGGCUGACUGCCUGGCAAGUCUCUUGUCUUCUUACUUCUGGAAGCCUGUGGAAGACGCAGUUGCUCUUAGGAGCUCCAGCUAAGCAAGCAUUUUGGUGGCUGACUCCCAAGUUUGGCAAACAUCCUAUAUUUGAUGCAGGCCUCCUCCUUCCAUUAGUACUUGGUUUCUCGAAUUCUGUAAGCCCACGGGAAAUGUACCCUGCCAUUAGAGUCCAGCCUCUACUGCUCCAUCAGACUCACCGAGGUAGAAGCUCCAUGGGGCAAACUGUCCUUGUGUUCAGACCUCCUGUGGUCUCUGUUACUGCCCC